UUUUUCUCCUAAAUAGAGAUCAUUACAGAACGCCUAGUCCUACUUAAAAUACCAUUCAUUUUUCUUUUAUUUUAUCAUCUACUCGAACUGAGGAAAACGUUUGACUAACUCAAAGAAAAGUUCCGCGCCUCCCCUGCCUGUCUGCAGAGGCAGUUUUGAAUUCAGGAGCGGCAUGAUGGCAGCGGCAAACCCUGGCGGUUCUCCGGGUUCGUGGCAACCACGGAUGGGAAAAUGUGGAGGUUGCACGGCUGAUGUUUACUGUUCGUGGCACAGGAAGAGGCAGUUUCAUUUCAGGAAUGAGUGUGCACAAUCAAAGAAUAGAGCGACUGUGGAGAGACCUCUGGGUGGCCGUUACAUGCAUUUACUACGAUGUUCUUCACAACCCUGAGGAAGAAGGCCUUCUUGACAUUUCAAAUGCUGCACACCUCUUUUGCUGCCAUUACAUCUUUCUUCCUCGACUAGAGGAUAAUUUUAAUACAUUUUGCAGUGGAUGGGACAACCAUCCACUGCGAACAGAAAACAACAUGAGUCCCCCAACCAGCUGUGGGAGUUGGGUCACAGAUAUUACCCUGUUCCUGUUCCAGAAAACACACAGCUUAUCACACAUUUGAUUUCCAUGUGUGACGACUGCAAGUGUCCAGAGUGAGGACAGACUGAGGGACCCACUGCUGCACAUCAUCUGUGAGGCUUUGCACCCCUGAUGAUCCACCAGGACAAACUCAGCAGUGUGUGAGGAAGAGGAGGAGGAA